rnacentral:sRNA from 2 species
UCUCUGUACGGGAAGGAUGAGAAGCUUCGACUAAGGUUCGAUUCGAGCGAAAGCGAGAAAGCGUUGCCGCAGGCAACGACCCGAAGGGCGAAACGCGCAGCGCUGAGUCAUCCUUCCCCCACCACCA